ACCAGCUUUGGUCUUCAUUUGAGCACCUGGACCCAUGGGGACCCGUGGAGGCGCUCUACAAGAGGAGCACAGAGCUGGGCCUUUUCCUCGUGGUGAUUUACCUGUGGAGAACACUCAGGAGGUGCCGCAGCAGAGAGGAGAGGAGCCAGGUACUCUCAGCUGCCCCAGAGACACACUGCCAGAACAGCUCCUGCAAACACUGCAAGCUGCUCCGCCAAAUGAAGGCAAACCCUGCCUUCAUGGAGAUAUACCUACAGCAUGUGAGACACAUGCAGGAGGAUCUUUGCAGGAGGCAAGAGAAGGCAAAGCCGUGAGAAGAUGGGGAAGAAAACAGAGACUCUUCUCUGCAUACCGGCACAAGCAUAGCUCCCAGGUAGCUCCAGAGCAGCUGUAAAGUGAAGGGGAUCCGGCCAGAGACACCACCACUGUGCAUAGGGAGGGCACUGCUACAGGACAGGAAAGGAGCAGGAAGCUGUCCAGCUCCAGAAGCAACAAGGCCGGAAGGAAAGAGACCCCUAAGACUGCUCAAUAUUGCUGUAUGCUUCUAGAAUAAAUGUGCUUGCUUUUAUUACAUCAAAA